AGAGUUUGAUCCCAUGGCUCAGAUUGAACGCUGGCGGCAGGCUUAACACAUGCAAGUCGAGCGGUAGCACAGGGGAGCUUGCUCCUUGGGUGACGAGCGGCGGACGGGUGAGUAAUGUCUGGGAAACUGCCUGAUGGAGGGGGAUAACUACUGGAAACGGUAGCUAAUACCGCAUAACGUCGCAAGACCAAAGAGGGGGACCUUCGGGCCUCUUGCCAUCAGAUGUGCCCAGAUGGGAUUAGCUAGUAGGUGGGGUAAUGGCUCACCUAGGCGACGAUCCCUAGCUGGUCUGAGAGGAUGACCAGCCACACUGGAACUGAGACACGGUCCAGACUCCUACGGGAGGCAGCAGUGGGGAAUAUUGCACAAUGGGCGCAAGCCUGAUGCAGCCAUGCCGCGUGUGUGAAGAAGGUCUUCGGAUUGUAAAGCACUUUUAAGUUGGGAGGAAGGGUUGUAGAUUAAUACUCUGCAAUUUGACG
rnacentral:rRNA from 1 species